AUGGCCGAUGAUGAUAAGAAAGACGAAGAUAUCUGCAGUGCUCCUGAUUUAAAUUCAGGACACAAUAGCAUGAUGACUCCGUCUAUGGGAAUCUCUGAUGCUGU